GGGGCAGAGCGCUGCUGACUUGCAAAGCCAGCAUUGUCCACCAGAUGGAGACAAAACACUCCAGUGAAAAGGGCUCCACACAAACCCCGAUUUCAAUGCCAACUCCCAACUUACGUAAUAGACCAAUCGGGACAAAAAUGUAGCAAGAGCCAAGCAUGCGCACCUGUAAUCCCAGAAUUUAGGAGGUUGAGGCAGAAGGAUUGCCAGUUUUAGUCUAGCCGGGACUACACAGCAAGACCCUAUCCAAAAAAGGAAACAGUAAGUGGAGAUGGCCAAAGAGAUGUAGGUGAAAGCCACUCCAAAAGCCUCUGCUCAAGAACUUUUGCUCCCGUACCCUCCCUCCUGUCCUCUGCCCCAUCCUCCCGAGGUGCAGCAGCUGUCGCUGUCCCUGAGAUGACAAGUGUAAGAACAAAGACCACUAAGGCAGGCAGAGAGGCUCAGGGGUCCCUUCUUGGUGACCACUCUGCGCAGUGACUAUGUCUGUGGGGAUUAUGGAGGUGUGAACUUGGUUUUGAGGUAUGAGAGCCACUGCUGGGCAGCCUUCUGUUUGCGGAUAAAAUUAUCCCUACGCAAUCCAUCACCGAUGUUAGCACGUUGGGUUGCCUCCGUGCAGGGCGGUGUGCAUGCAGAGUGAGGAAUGUGUUGUUGCGAAGCGCCUACCUGGGACCACAGGAAACAGGAGGUCCCAGGAAACAGGAGGCAGAGCCAUCGAGGGUCUGGGCUGCGCAUGCGUCAGCACAGGUGGCGACCUCCCUAAGAGAGGCGUGCCUUCCAGAAGCAGCCAGUCCUGCAUGGUACAUCUCCCCCACCCCGCAAGCUAACAGAUGGAAAGAAACUACACAUUUCAACCCCUGAUGGAAACCAGACCUUUAAGUUUAUGGUAAGCCAACAGGAGGUGACCAGGACUGGGGAGGUGUGGCCCAGAGGGUGGGACACACACAUAUCAUAUACACCACACACAUAAUUAUACACACACACACACACACAGCCACCCAGUAUUGCCCAACCGUGAACCACAUGGAACUUCUAAACCCGGGAUGACAGAUGGCCUUCUCACCUGGCUCUCUGCUCCUGUGUCUGCGGCUGAGGACUCUGGUGUCUCAGGGCACAUGCGCAGGUAUUCGGGACGCCCACUACACCGUGUCGACCUCUACCAGCGCAGCAAAUGUCCGGUAACUCUGCUUCACUUUGACACCUCGGCUCAAUCUUCCUCUCUCUCCUGUGUGUUCACCUAAACUGCUGCUGCCAACCUCAGGUAGGAUCCAGGUCAAGUUCCACUGACCGUUGCUGUGACCAAAUGCACAGACAGCUGAGGACGGGGAGGCAUCUACCUCAAGAGCAGCCUACACUGGGUGCAGUGCAGUGAUACAUGUCACCCCAGCACACAGUGUCCUCCCAGACACUAACGCUGGAAAACUGAGGUUCAUCACCCCAGCACACAGUGUCCUCCCAGACACUAACACUGGAAAACUGAGGUUCAUCACCCCAGCACACAGUGUCCUCCCAGACACUAACGCUGGAAAACUGAGGUUCAUCACCCCAGCACACAGUGUCCUCCCAGACACUAACGCUGGAAAACUGAGGGUCAUCACCCCAGCACACAGUGUCCUCCCAGACACUAACGCUGGAAAACUGAGGGUCAUCAGGCCACAAUUUCCCAUCUUACCUACUUACCUACUUGAGGGUCUUUCAACCUUUCCUCCUCCAUCUCCUCCCCCUCCUCCUCCUCCUCUCCUUCAGGCUGCCAGCAUCUUCUGCUUGGGCCCUGCAUUGCUCUCUGAUGCCAGGCUUUGUACACUUCCCUGACUCUGCCCGCUCCAUGCAGCCACUAGACAACUUUAUCUAAAACCUCCACCUGACCGUGAGGCUCCCCACACCACCACGGUCUCAUGUAGCUGAAGCUACCUGGAACCCACCCUGCGGCUGAGGCUAGCCUUAACUAUUGAUCCUCCUGCAUCUGCCUCUCACCCGCUACGACACCAUGCCUGACUCACCAUGUGGCUUUUUUGCCUGGAGACUUUCUAGAGGUUUUUCAUUUUAUGUUAAUGAGUCAACCCUAUUUAAAAUUUUUAAAGAUUUAAGUGUGCAAGCGUUUGCCUGCAUGCAUGUAUGUGUACCACAUGCAUGUUGUGGUGGCAGAUCCCUGGGAUUGGAAUUAUAGAUGGUUGUGGACACCAUGUAGAUGCUGGGAACCAAACCCAGUUCCUCUGCAAGAGCAGUAAGUGCUCCUAACAGUUGAGCCGUCUCUCCAGGCCUAACCCCAUUUUUUAAAAAAACUAAUAAAUUGCAUUUGGAGAGGACAGCUUUAGGUUUACAGCAAAACUGAGCCAUAAGGAGAAAUUCUCCGAAGUUCUCCACCCCCUCCAUUGUGAAGGACAGCUCCAAAGUUCUCCAUCCCCCUUCAUUGUGAAGGACAGCUCCAAAGUUCUCCAUCCCCUCCAUUGUGAAGGAGAGCUCCAAAGUUCUCGGCUCUCCUUCACUGCAUUGGCGUGCUCCCUCCAUUAUUCAUUUGGUGCUUGACGUUGAACACAAGGACUGGUGUGGUAAACAUCCUUCCACUGAGCUGCAGCCCGCCCCCAGUACUGGCGUUUUCCUCCUUUUCUUCUUCCAUCCCUUGCAUUCCCACCUUUACUUGCAUACCACAUGUAUCCUAUUACCCUUCUCACUCCCCCUUAAAGCCUUUGUUCUCCUUUCAUGGGCCCCUUUCUAGUUUCUACUCACACUUCCACAUAAAUACACCAACACACAAAUUAGAAGUUAGGAUUAUGAGCCGGGCGGUGGUGGCGCAUGCCUUUAAUCCCAGCACUCGGGAGGCAGAGCCAGCCAAGGCCCAUUUCCUCUACCUGAGGCUGAAAGUGUAGAACUGUUUGUGACAUUCCUCAUCUAUAUCUCAGCACCUGGUGACCUGAGUUUGAUCCCCAGGACCCAUAUGGUAGAAGGAAAGAAUUGGUUCCUACAUAUGCAGGCCAUGGUACACAUGUACCACAUACACACACACACCACACUAAGGAAAACAUCCUGUGUCAUUCUGCUGUGGUCAGGACUGAUGAACUCUCUUCCCUUUCUGGUAUUAAUGACUUGCAUCUUUUUUUUCUUGGUUAACCAGGAGAGAGGGCUGCUUUAUCUUUUCAGAGAGCCCGAAUUUCUCUAUCACUUUCCUGUUUCCUGUGUCAUCGAUUUUCGCUUUUCUUUUCUUUUGCUGGCUUUGGGCUUACAUUCCGAUCGGUUGGUUUGGUUGUUUUUGUUCGUUUGUAGACAGGAUUUUAUGGAGCCCUGGCAGGUCUCAAACAUGCUAUGUAGAUGAGUGCUGAGAUAACAGGCCUGUGCCACCGUGUCCAGUUAGUGUCACAGUGGGGAUCAAACCCCUGGUGGCUCUGGGCAUACUAAGCAAGGCUUACAUCCUUAGCCUUCUCUCCUAUACUCCUCCCCCCUCCCCAAGUGCAUGCUGGGACUGCAGGCCCCUGUAUGGCCAGGCUUCUGUUUUCUUGCAUGUGCUGUUCAGUGGUGCAGAUCCCUCCCUACCUCUGUUUUUGGUGUACCAAACAAAUUGCAAUAAACUGUAUUUUCAUUCAGUUUAAAAUAUUCUGUGGUAAUAUUGUUUGUGCUUUAACAAAUAAAUCUUGCUU